CCUGCCAGGAACCAGGGUCUUGCCCAGUGAUCCCCGGAAAGCUCACUGAGCUGCAGCUGCUUGGUGUGGAAAGAAGAGGAGUUUCUCUGGAGGCUGGGGCAGCCUUGCCUUGACCUGACCGCCAGGAUUCUGGUCUCAGCUAGCCCGGGCAGUUGGCAUCUCCAAGGAGAAGAGGCUGGGGGAGCCCUGUUCAAAGACGCAAGAAAGGAAACAGGUUUCCUCCAAGACUGGAGCGCUGUAGGUGCCAGCUUGAGGGGAGAAGGCAGAAGCAGGCCACUCCGCGGACUCGAUGUGGCUGAUGACUGGGACAGUCCCCUGGAGAAAGGCAGAAGGCGAGGAUAAAGUCCCAAGAGCCACUGCUCGGUUCUCCGAACCUCCGUCCGGCCAGUCCACAGGCCAGUGAGGCAGCG